rnacentral:rRNA from 1 species
UACGUAGGGGGCAAGCGUUGUCCGGAUUUAUUGGGCGUAAAGAGCGUGUAGGCGGCUAGGUAGGUCCGCUGUGAAAACUUGAGGCUCAACCUCAAGAGGUCGGUGGAAACCAUCUGGCUAGAGUCCGGAAGAGGAGAGUGGAAUUCCCGGUGUAGCGGUGAAAUGCGCAGAUAUCAGGAGGAACACCGGUGGCGAAGGCGGAUCUCUGGGCCUGUUCUGACGCUGAGGCGCGAAAGCUAGGGGAGCGAACAGG